AUCUAUAGAGCCGCCGCCCUAUCUCUGGCCGCCAGAGACCAUCCUCUCCCCACGUCUGAACACUCCCACUACCCCGGGCGUCCCCCAUUCCCCACCCCACCAUCGCGAGAUGCUGGAUCGAGCCCAUCCCCGCCGCCACGGUCGCCGGCUUGCCGUCCCAAUCCAAGCACUGACAAAUUCUUAAUCUGCUACUCUACUUUGUUGCAUCCCCAUGCCAGCCCGGGCGAGGCGGAGCCAUUGGAUCGAUAGCACGCGUGCUAUAUGUGCGUGUGCGUGCGCCUGAAUGCUAGGGCGGCGUGCAGGAGCCCCCCUUCUCCUCCCUUUUCCUCUCUCCCCACGCUCAUAGUGGAGCUUGAGCUGAGCGGAAGUUCUUGGGGGCAUAGGAACAAGACGGUCAGGUAGAAGGCAUGGACGUUGGGGAUGGCUAUGCGCGGAGGAGGGCGCGAACGCUGGGAUGGAUGCUAGCUGGCCUGGCCGACGAGUGCAUCAAGAUUGAUAAGUGUAAUGUUAUUAAUUUUGCUGAUCUGCCCUGAUAUACUGCUAUUGCAUAUAUAAAGAGACCAUAGAGGAAAGCACUGCUGCGAUUUUCUCAUGCUGCUACUGGUUUUCUUCAUGCUGUUACUUGCUUACUGAUUACAACUGGUGCUACUAGGUACUCGCUUCAUGAUAUGUAGAUAUGUAUGCUGCUUCUAGGUACUUGUAAACAUGGUGACAAGGGACCGGUGCUGCUUGCUACAGCGGUAGGCGUCUGGUGGCCAUGCAGUUGCAGCUGCUACUUAGAUACAUAAUGUAGCCGGCAAUGGUGAGAAGACUUUGAUCUUGAUAUAUUAUAUGCAAGCCCCAUACACCAUAGGAGGUCCUCCUUUUUGGUGAUAUCAGCCGGGGAUGAAAUAAAGAGAAGAAAAAAAUUCCUGUGA